AUUGAACGCUGGCGGCAUGCCUUACACAUGCAAGUCGAACGCGAAAGGGGGGCAACCCCUGAGUAGAGUGGCGCACGGGUGAGUAAUGCAUCGGAACGUGUCCUGUAGCGGGGGAUAACCUAGCGAAAGCUAGGCUAAUACCGCAUACGCCCUAAGGGGGAAAGUGGGGGAUCGUAAGACCUCACACUAUAGGAGCGGCCGAUGCCGGAUUAGCUAGUUGGUGGGGUAAAAGCUCACCAAGGCGACGAUCCGUAGCUGGUCUGAGAGGAUGAUCAGCCACACUGGGACUGAGACACGGCCCAGACUCCUACGGGAGGCAGCAGUGGGGAAUUUUGGACAAUGGGGGAAACCCUGAUCCAGCCAUGCCGCGUGAGUGAAGAAGGCCUUCGGGUUGUAAAGCUCUUUCGGCCGGGACGAAAUCGCACGCGUGAAUAUCGUGUGCGGAUGACGGUACCGGCAGAAGAAGGACCGGCUAACUACGUGCCAGCCGCCGCCGUAA
rnacentral:rRNA from 1 species